rnacentral:rRNA from 1 species
CCUACGGGAGGCAGCAGUGGGGAAUUUUGGACAAUGGGCGCAAGCCUGAUCCAGCCAUGCCGCGUGCAGGAUGAAGGCCUUCGGGUUGUAAACUGCUUUUGUACGGAACGAAACGGCCUUUUCUAAUAAAGAGGGCUAAUGACGGUACCGUAAGAAUAAGCACCGGCUAACUACGUGCCAGCAGCCGCGGUAAUACGUAGGGUGCAAGCGUUAAUCGGAAUUACUGGGCGUAAAGCGUGCGCAGGCGGUGAUGUAAGACAGUUUGGAAAUCCCAGGGCUCAACCUAGGAACUGCAUCUGUGACUGCAACGCUGGAGUACGGAAGAGGGGGAUGGAAUUCCGCGUGUAGCAGUGAAAUGCGUAGAUAUGCGGAGGAACACCGAUGGCGAAGGCAAUCCCCUGGGACUGUACUGACGCUCAUGCACGAAAGCGUGGGGAGCAAACAGGAUUAGAUACCCGAGUAGUC